AUGACUGAUGACCAGUGGAACGAGCUGGUGGAAAGCUGGAAGGAUCCCAAAAAGAUGGGGAUAUCUCAAAUUAACAAAGCUAAUCGAGCUCAAGUUAAGUUCCACCAAACUACUGGAGCGCGCAGCUACCCUGUGCACUGUGGAAAUCUGGGAGACAAAUACAAUGAUAAAGAACCAACUGCUGUCGAUUUGUUCAAGGAGUGCCACUACAGCAAGAAAAAGAAAGGUUACACCAAUGUUGUGCUGGAUGCAAUUACCGAGAUGGAAAAGAAGGUUCCUAAUCCUACAGAAGAUGGUCAGGAAUCGAGCUCUGCAACUGAGGCGCUAACCGAAGCUGUAGCUGAAGUGCUUCCUAAGCACACUAAGAAGCCGAGGUUUCUUCAGCAUGUGGGGAUCCAACACGUCCAUGCGAGAUCUAGUGAUAUCAACCAUGAAGUAGAAUUGGCAGCGCAAAAGAUGAAUGUUGAGCUUCGGGCGUGUGUUGACACCUUGACCAAGAAGUUCAAGGAAUCUGAAGAAGAAAGGGCCAGGCAAGAUGAGGAGUACAGGAAGCGAGACGAGGAGAACAGGAAGAAGCAACCUGAGAUGGAUGCAAAACUAGACUUAUUGCUAAGUCAGAUGCCAUCAAGAUCAGCUGAAGGGUAA
rnacentral:rRNA from 1 species